GGGUAACGGGGAAUUAGGGUUCGAUUCCGGAGAGGGAGCCUGAGAAACGGCUACCACAUCCAAGGAAGGCAGCAGGCGCGCAAAUUACCCAAUCCCGACACGGGGAGGUAGUGACAAUAAAUAACAAUACAGGGCUCUUUCGGGUCUUGUAAUUGGAAUGAGUACAAUUUAAAUCCCUUAACGAGGAACAAUUGGAGGGCAAGUCUGGUGCCAGCAGCCGCGGUAAUUCCAGCUCCAAUAGCGUAUAUUAAAGUUGUUGCAGUUAAAAAGCUCGUAGUUGAAUUUCGGAGUUCUAUCGUUGGUCGGGCUAUUGUCUGUACUGGCGUGUAGAAUUUCUACCUUCUGGGGAACUAUCAUGUUAUUAAUUUAGCGUGGUAGGAAACCAGGACCUUUACCUUGAAAAAAUUAGAGUGUUCAAAGCAGGCUUAUGUCUGAAUACAUUAGCAUGGAAUAAUAAAAUAGGACGGUGGUCCUGUUUUGUUGGUUUCUGAAUCACCGUAAUGAUUAAUAGGGAUAGUUGGGGGCAUUAGUAUUCAAUUGUCAGAGGUGAAAUUCUUGGAUUUAUUGAAGACUAACUACUGCGAAAGCAUUUGCCAAGGAUGUUUUCAUUAAUCAAGAACGAAAGUUAGGGGAUCGAAGACGAUCAGAUACC
rnacentral:rRNA from 1 species